CCUACGGGAGGCAGCAGUGAGGAAUAUUGGUCAAUGGGCGCGAGCCUGAACCAGCCAAGUCGCGUGAGGGAAGACGGUCCUAUGGAUUGUAAACCUCUUUUGUCGGGGAGCAAAAGACGCCACGCGUGGGGUUCUGAAUGUACCGGAAGAAAAAGCACCGGCUAACUCCGUGCCAGCAGCCGCGGUAAUACGGAGGAUGCGGGCGUUAUCCGGAUUUAUUGGGUUUAAAGGGUGCGCAGGCGGAAGAUCAAGUUAGCGGUAAAAUUGAGGGGCUCAACCUCUCCGAGCAGUGGAAACUGGUGUGCUUGAGUGAGUGGGAAGUAGGCGGAAUGCGUGGUGUAGCGGUGAAAUGCAUAGAUAUGACGCAGAACCCCGAUUGCGAAGGCAGCAUGCCGGAGCUGAACUGACGCUGAUGCACGAAAGUGUGGGUAGCGAACAGGAUUAGAUACCCCUGUAGUC
rnacentral:rRNA from 1 species